CCUACGGGAGGCAGCAGUAAGGAAUAUUGGUCAAUGGGCGGAAGCCUGAACCAGCCAUGCCGCGUGCAGGAAGACGGCCCUACGGGUUGUAAACUGCUUUUGUACCGGAAUAAACCUUGAUAUGUAUAUCAAGCUGAAUGUACGGUAAGAAUAAGGAUCGGCUAACUCCGUGCCAGCAGCCGCGGUAAUACGGAGGAUCCAAGCGUUAUCCGGAUUUAUUGGGUUUAAAGGGUGCGUAGGUGGCUUAUUAAGUCAGGGGUGAAAGACGGUAGCUUAACUAUCGCAGUGCCUUUGAUACUGAUGAGCUUGAAUCCACUAGAGGUAGGCGGAAUGUGACAAGUGGCGGUGAAAUGCAUAGAUAUGUCACAGAACACCAAUUGCGAAGGCAGCUUACUAUGGUGGUAUUGACACUGAGGCACGAAAGCGUGGGGAUCAGACAGGAUUAGAUACCCUGGUAGUCCACGCCCUAAACGAUGAAUACUCGAUGUUGGCGAUAUACGGUCAGCGUCUAAGCGAAAGCGUUAAGUAUUCCACCUGGGGAGUACGCCGCAAGGUGAAACUCAAGGAUUGACGGCUGAGACGNGCGAGACGACGACGAGGGAGGAGG
rnacentral:rRNA from 1 species